UAUCGAAUAUAGUACAUACCAUAUGAUAUUUCAUCUUUUGAAAUGACUGCAUGGGAAGUAAGAAGGAUUACUUAUGAUUCCUUAAUAACCCAUAGACAUGUCUGCUGGCCUGCAAAUCACAGGAUGGUCAGCUCAUGAUUCUGCUGUAAGCUCUGUACUAUUUGGACUGGAUGAGACUAGUAUCUUCAGUUUGGGCUCUGAUGGGAAGGAAAACAUCUGAAGAUCCAUGUUUGUCGCUCUUUAGGGGAUUUAUCUGUUGUGAAGAUUUAGAACUUAAUCGUCCCAAUAGAGACAUUUUGACCUUUUGAUUAAGUAGUAGCUCUUUGUUUUAAUCAUGGAGGAUUUGUGAUAUGUGCUUAAUUUGGUAAGUUUGUGUGUAAAACUUGUGAAGAAUUAUCUCAAUCCUAUUGCUAUAAUAUUGUUCUUCGUUGUAAUGAAUUGUUCAUUAUAUUAAGGCUAAAGUUUGGUUA